GAUGAAGAACGCAGCGAAAUGCGAUACUUGGUGUGAAUUGCAGAAUCCCGUGAACCAUCGAGUCUUUGAACGCAAGUUGCGCCUCAAGCCAUUAGGUUGAGGGCACGUCUGCCUGGGCGUCACAUAUCGUUGCCUGAUGCCAGUUUCCUCGUGAUGGGUGACUGUGCAGGGCGAAUGAUGGCUUCCCGUGAGCAUUGUUGCCUCAUGGUUGGUUGAAAAUUGAGUCCUUGGUAGGGAGCGCCGUGAUAGAUGGUGGUUGAGUGACGAACGAGACCCAAUCAUGUGAGACCCCUACCGAAUUUGGCCUUCAUGACCCACAUGCGGCUUUGGAACGCUCAUGACGAGACCUCAGGUCAGGCGGGGCUACCCGCUGAGUUUAAGCAUAUCAAUAAGCGGAGGA
rnacentral:misc_RNA from 1 species